AUUGAACGCUGGCGGCAGGCCUACCACAUGCAAGUCGAACGAGUGGCGGCAGGGUUAGUAAUGUCUGGGAAACUGCCUGAUGGAGGGGGAUAACUACUGGAAACGGUAGCUAAUACCGCAUCCAGUCAGAUGUGCUCAGAUGGGAUUAGCUAGCUGGUGGGGUAACGGCUCACCAAGGCGACGAUCCCUAGCUGGUCUGAGAGGAUGACCAGCCACACUGGAACUUAGACACGGUCCAGACUCCUACGGGAGGCAGCAGUGGGGAAUAUUGCACAAUUGACGCAAGCCUGAUGCAGCCAUGCCGCGUGUAUGAAGAAGGCCUUCGGGUUGGAAAGUACUUUCAGCGGGGAGGCGUUACCCGAAGAAGAAGCGCCGGCUAACUCCGUGCCAGCAGCCGCGGUAAUUC
rnacentral:rRNA from 1 species